rnacentral:rRNA from 1 species
CCCAGACUCCUACGGGAGGCAGCAGUGAGGAAUAUUGGUCAAUGGGCUUACGCCUGAACCAGCCAAGUCGCGUGAGGGAAGACUGCCCUAUGGGUUGUAAACCUCUUUUGUCAGGGAGCAAUUGGCGCUACGUGUAGCGUUAUCGAGAGUACCUGAAGAAAAAGCAUCGGCUAACUCCGUGCCAGCAGCCGCGGUAAUACGUAGGGAGCGAGCGUUAUCCGGAUUUAUUGGGUGUAAAGGGUGCGUAGGCGGCUUUUUAGGUCUAAGGUUUAAGCCCGGAGCUUAACUCCGGUUCGCCUUAGAAACCGAUUGGCUUGAGUAUGGUAGAGGCAAGUGGAAUUUCUAGUGUAGCGGUAAAAUGCGUAGAUAUUAGAAGGAACACCAGUGGCGAAGGCGACUUGCUGGGCCAUUACUGACGCUGGGGCACGAAAGCGUGGGGAGCGAAUAGGAUUAGAUACCCGGGUAC